UACAUCUUUCCACUAUAAAGCUUUAAUCCCCCUUUGCCCUUUUCCUUUCAUCUUCAACCCUUUUCCUCUUAUAUUCCUUUUCCUUUCGGCUGUUAAAGCUCCUCCAUGGAUGCAAGCUUGUUGCCUUCUAAUGGCUCAUCAUCUUCCUCUAGGGUUUCUAACCCACAUGGGCUUUGUUCCUCCUGAUCUCAACUGGGUUUUUUCUCUUCUUUUCUGGGGGGUGGAAUGGUUUCAUUGUUGGAUCUUGCUUAGAUUGAUGGGAUCUUUUAGAACAUGUUGUGAACAUGUCUUUUUGUAGUGUUGGGGUGUACGAUGUUGCUUUGUAGUACAGCCAUUUUCAUGUUCUUGAAGCUUUGCUAAUGGAUCCCUUUGUUGUUAAUAAGCAAUUAUUCAGAUCCUUUAGCUUUUGGCUAUUGAGCAUUGAUGAAUAGUAAUGACAAUGAUGAACUAUAAACUAUCUUAUUUUCUCU